AGGACGAACGCUGGCGGCGCGCCUAACACAUGCAAGUCGAGCGAGAACCAGGGCUUGCCCUGGGGACAGCGGCGAACGGGUGCGUAACACGUGAGCAACCUGCCCCAAAGACCGGGACAACCCGAGGAAACUCGGACUAAUACCGGAUGCCCUCACCGGGCCGCAUGGUCUGGUGAGGAAAUGGAUUCCGCUUUGGGAUGGGCUCGCGGUCUAUCAGCUUGUUGGUGGGGUAACGGCCUACCAAGGCGACGACGGAUAGGCUGGUCUGAGAGGACGAUCAGCCACACUGGGACUGAGACACGGCCCAGACUCCUACGGGAGGCAGCAGUGGGGAAUCUUGCGCAAUGGGGGAAACCCUGACGCAGCGACGCCGCGUGCGGGAUGAAGGCCUUCGGGUUGUAAACCGCUUUCAGCAGGGACGAAAUUGACGGUACCUGCAGAAGAAGGCCCGGCCAACUACGCGCCAGCAGCCGC
rnacentral:rRNA from 1 species